AUUCUCUGAACAUAGAAUCGUCCUGGAUGGUGAUUCAGGGACGCUUCGUUCAGUGUAGAAACCAGGCUGCUUUGGAGGCGGCAAGGCAACAUCACUGCUCAACAUCAGAACCACAGAUGACAUGCUUGGUCUAUCCUCAGUGUUUUUAGGUGAUUAGAGCUGAACAUGGAAAAGUUUUUGCGACUUUUAGACAUGUUGGACCUCUCAAGGUUGAUGUGAAAUUUGGAUAGUUGGAGGGAACAAUUGGGCCGUUGGCUUUUUGAGGUACAAAAAGGUCCUCAUGAUGUGGAUGCAGAGAAUAUUAAAAUGAGCAUGUUUAGCUGCCAAAAUCCAAAAAGACAAUGACAGGGAUUAUGAAGGGAGAGAAAGAGGAUGGAGAGGACGAAUAAAGGUCGAAGACGUACCUCGUUCUGAAGCUGCCACCCGUAUAUAGAGGUCUUGACCACCGCCGGGAGGGAAUUCUCUUAUGUCGGUGAGGUUAUCAAACCAAAGCACGCAGCCACUUCCUCCCUCCCUGAUGUCUAG